CCGGUGGGGAGGGGACUUGGUGUGUGACUACCUAGACCCAGGGAAAAGGCCACUCCUUGAGAGCUCUUGCUUUUCCUUUCUGUGUUUUCAAGGCCCGUGCGCCUCUCGCAUGCCAAAGAGCAAGCACCCUGGGGAGGCUGCAUGGAAAGAAGGCGAAGAGCGUGGCAGGUGGUCGCUCAGCUGUAGUGGGACUGUCCAGGCCGCCUUUGCGUUUCCUUUGUAUUUCAGGGGUUUGUUUGUUCGUGUUAAUAAAAACGGGGAGGUCUCCGGUCAGCGCAGAUCCUGGGAUUGGAGGGACCUGAAUCUCCUCUGAGGAUCACUAGUGACAAAUGCAUCUCCUGACAAAAUGAUGUUGGCCCAGCACUUUGAGAUGAUAACCAAUGCAUAUGAAACAGAUGAACUCCAGACAACCCAGGCCAGAGAGCUCCUGCUUCUGGCUUUCUUGUUGCCAGAUGUAGCUAAAAGGGUCUUGACAUCUACCUCUAGCUGUUCAUCACCCCUCCCAAUGUGAGAGCAGACCAACUAACUGGGCCAUGUCCAUCCCAGCAUCAGGGGACACUUAAAACCUGACAAAAGACUAAUUGAUCAGUGAUGCUUUUGGAAAAAGAACUUGAUCAAAAGGGGGAAAUGUGAAAGUUGACAAAAUCACUUUCUUUGGGACCUAGACAAAAUACAGCCAGGAAAUGCACAAAGUGGGGAGGGGUGAGAGUCAUGCUUGCUUGUCUAAGAACUAUUUCCAAGGGUCUUCGAAAAACCCAUCAGAAAUCCCUUCACCGUCUUUCAUGCAUCUCCUGCUAUGCAGGUGUGCAUAUGUUUCUGUGGCAAGAUUUAUGAUUACAUGUUCUUUAGAACUGCAGUAAUUCAGAUAGGAUGCUCCAAGAAGGUCUUGUCCAAUAAUGACAUCUCAGCCAGUGAGCUGACAAUAAAUCUGACUUUGAGCCUCUGAAACCAAUGAACUUUGUUUCCAAGCAGCUUGUGUGAACCUCUCCCUUUUUGCCAAUAACAGCUUUCUCUUACCUUCCCUCACUGAAUGCAUCUAUGGCUUGCCAUGGUACACAUUCUGGAUUGUAAUCCUAUUUUCUAUCCCCAAAUAAACUCAACAUAUUUU